GGAUUCAGCAGAAAAAGGGAGCAAUUAGACAAAUGAUUUCAACCAUGCAACACCAAAACACAUCAGCCUUGCUGUGCUGAGUCCUUCAUGUGUACCCUUUAAGGAAGGAAACAGCAUAGGAGAUGAUGCCACAUACGCCAGGUUUAUAUGAGUGUGAGUGCUUUCCCUAUAGGGAGAAUUGUCCUGUGGGGAUCUCAGCCCACAGAGGUUUCCAUUGAUCCACAUUAACGUGUGUUGCAGAAAUUAAACAUGUCAUACUGAAAAAUGCAGGUAAUGUACACUGACAGUGUCUGAGCCAUGACUUAAACAGCAUCAAGCCAAAAUGUAUACGUCUACACCUACAAGGAUCAUGCAAGCUAAAAGAACAAAAACGACUCAAUAGGAACCAUUCAGAGCCAGUGUGUGCUGGUCUUGUUGAGCUUCACUUAAUUCCUCCCUUUGUGCAAGGGGAUUUCAGCUGUCUUUACAAACGUUAAAUUUGUGCCUGCUCUAACACUUCUUAAAUUUUGUGUGACUUCUAACAAACUUCCCAGUGACUCGUUAUCACUGGGGGGGAAAAAAGCCAUGGUGAUGAAUUUCAGGUAUGGAAGAACCUGUGCCUUGAAUCUAGAAAAAUCACAAACCCAAAAGUAUUGAGAAUAUUUUUUUUCUGUAAAGCUAAAAACAUCAGAAAAACAUUAGUAGCAGUCCCUCUGCUCAUUUUUGUCAAUGAAGAACCUGUGGGAAAGCAAAAUUCAGAGCCUUUGUAAAUUCACCUGGGAAAUUCCAGGAGAGCCUGUUUGCUGGAAGUGUUGAAAAGAGAUUUGUGUAAGAAGCUGUGCCUCACCUUGUCUUACCUAGAGUCCCAAAAUGGACUAAGAGCAAUACAACUAAUCAGAAGAGGAAAGACUCCAUUUCCUCAAUGUCCAGGUUCCUGCUCAACCAUAGCGGAAGCAUCCUUUUCUAUUCUGCGUUGACAAUCUCACAUCUCAACAAGUCAGAGCACUGGCGGAGUGAGGAGCCCUGAAAGCUCUCAAUGAAGAUGAAACUUCUACUGUCCUGUCCACAUCUGCAAGGAGCUGUAUAUUACUCAGUACUGCCUCUGUGGAUGUAGCUCUCAACGGUCAGUCCAACUCACCAGUCCAUCAGAGCAAAGAGCACAAGCUCAGUGUACACCUUAUCUAACACAGGCACCUGCUGCCAAAAUACUCCCUCCUCACCCAAGUCCUGGCCACACAUUCCCUGCGCUUCCAUCAGAUCAAUCUAGUGGCCAAGCAGCUACAGGACAGGUCAAUUGGGCUGGCAGAUCUGAUGGAAAACAAAGAUAACAAAUGGAGAUGACUCUGCAGCUGGAACGGGGGGGCAAGACUGCCUUUGAAAAAUGCUACUAGGUUUUGGCUCAUUUAGAUGCGACUCAAACUGUUACCUCUGCCUUCUCUCUAUAUAUUUAUCUCCUUCCAAACCCCGGCCUCCAUGCAUAAACCCAUGGCCUCAUGUUUUAAGCCAUCUUUUUUUUUAAAUUAU